rnacentral:rRNA from 1 species
UACGUAGGGUGCAAGCGUUAAUCGGAAUUACUGGGCGUAAAGCGUGCGCAGGCGGCUUUGCAAGACAGCUGUGAAAUCCCCGGGCUUAACCUGGGAACUGCAUUUGUGACUGCAUGGCUAGAGUGCGGCAGAGGGGGAUGGAAUUCCGCGUGUAGCAGUGAAAUGCGUAGAUAUGCGGAGGAACACCGAUGGCGAAGGCAAUCCCCUGGGCCUGCACUGACGCUCAUGCACGAAAGCGUGGGGAGCAAACAGG